rnacentral:rRNA from 1 species
CAAUAGCGUAUAUUAAAGUUGUUGCAGUUAAAAAGCUCGUAGUUGAACCUUGGGCUUGGCUGGCCGGUCCAUCUUUUUUGAUGCGUACUGGACCCAGCCGAGCCUUUCCUUCUGGCUAGCCUUUUGGCGAACCAGGACUUUUACUUUGAAAAAAUUAGAGUGUUCAAAGCAGGCCUUUGCUCGAAUAUAUUAGCAUGGAAUAAUAGAAUAGGACGUUAUGGUUCUAUUUUGUUGGUUUCUAGGACCAUCGUAAUGAUUAAUAGGGACGGUCGGGGGUAUCAGUAUUCAGUUGUCAGAGGUGAAAUUCUUGGGUUUACUGAAGACUAACUACUGCGAAAGCAUUUACCAAGGACGUUUUCAUUAA